ACUGGAUAUCAGGGUUUCAUAAUAUGAAAAUCUGAACCAAGUACUCAGCUCGCUUUGAAUAACACGCUUUAUAGAGCGAUUGGAACAAAAUUAUUAAAUAUGGAAGACACCCUUUAGAGUUUAGUAGUUACCAUGGGACCAAAGUAGCUAUUCUAGUACCUAGAAGAAGAAGAAAAAGUGGAUGAGGUUCUUGCCGACAAGUGUUUCUGCUGAUUGACUUCCUCAGGAGAAAGCAACCAGAAAACCAAAGAAAAAAUAUGUGAGAAAUCACUAACAGGGGAGAGAACAGUAUUGGAGGAAACGGUAUCUCAGAUCAACGUACAGCGACACAAGUUAAGAACAUGAUUUGCACUAAAUGAGAAGUUGAAAUUGAGCGAGACAGACUUGUUUAAGUAUGUGUUUGAGGUAGUGCCAUUUAAGUUAGCUUUACAAUGUAG